AGUGAACGUUGGCGGCGUGGAUUAGGCAUGCAAGUCGAGCGAGAACCGUAGCAAUACGGGGACAGCGGCGAAAGGGACAGUAAUGUGUAGGUACCUACCUCCGGGUUCGGGAUAGCUGCGGGAAACUGCAGGUAAUACCGAAUAACGUCUCCGGACCAAAGGUGUGAUUCCACCUGGAGAGGGGCCUGCAUCCUAUUAGCUUGUUGGCGGGGUAACGGCCCACCAAGGCGACGAUGGGUAGCGGGUGUGAGAGCACGACCCGCGUCAUUGGGACUGAGACACUGCCCAGACACCUACGGGUGGCUGCAGUCGUGAAUCUUCGGCAAUGGGCGCAAGCCUGACCGAGCGACGCCGCGUGUGGGAUGAAGGCCUUCGGGUUGUAAACCGCUGUCGUAGAGGAGGAAAUGCAGGGGGGUUCUCCCCUCUGUUUGACCUAUUCUAGGAGGAAGUACGGGCUAAGUUCGUGCAGCAGCCGCCGUAA
rnacentral:rRNA from 1 species